GCCGGCUGUGGGUGAAUAAGCUCCGUGAAUAUUGCCAAGACCCUGCGCUUGGUUCAGCAUUGUUCUUCACAAUGGAUACCACACUUUGGAAGUAAUUUUUAAAAGGGAAUCAAAAUGGUGGUACUUUUAGCCUUUGUUUCUUUUAUACCGCACUGCAUUCUCUGUCUCUCACUCAGCCGCUCCCAUUAUACUGACAAAUUAAAUAAACCAGAGAGGCUGAGCAGGCAGGACUGCCUCCACCACAGCCAGCCGGGAAGUCGAAAUAAACACUGAGGUGGUUCCGGCUGGCAGUUCCAGCUAACUUUGUUUAAGGGCUUGAGACACAGAGGUGGGGGAGGCUCGGAACUCAAGAGGGUCAGUGGCCCCAGAGAGCCAGCCUUGGUGGCAGCAGUGGGGACAGUCCGUAUGCAGGGCUGCAGCUUCUGGAAGAGUGCAGAGUCCUUCCCGCUGUGCGGCCCAGGACGCUGAAGGGUAGCUCAGGAGUGCUCCACAGUGUGAACACCACAUUUGUCUGUUUGAUGGACCACAUUUGUCCAUUUGUCUGUUGAUGGAUCCACAGGCUGCUUCCAAGAUGUAGCUGUUGUGACUGUGCCGCUAUAAAUGUGGGUGUGCAUGGGUAACUGUAAUAUGAUGUCUUCAACUCUUUGGGACAAGAUACCCAGAGGAGAAAAUCUGAGUGGAUUGGAAUUUCUAGUUUUAGUUUUUUGAGGAAUUCCCAUAUUUAAUUCCAUGUUUACUCACCUGAGAAAGACACCGAUCCAACACCACCAGGUCAAACAGGAUCAUCAGUCCCUAAAACCCCAUCUCUAACACAUCCACACAGACUGGACAUACAGUAGCUGUCAUCCAGGGAGGAGAAGCAGCAUGGAUCUGUGUUUGUGCCCUAUGAGGGCCAGGGCACUCUCCUGCCAUGUCCUCUGGGUUCCCAGGACCUGGGCGAGGCUCUGCUUUCUGGCUCUUCUCUCUCCUACUCUGUGCAGUGGGGGUGGCACCUGUGUCCUAGGCUGCUGAGAGGAGCGAAGGCCCUGCACACGUGGGUGACACAGCUACAUGUGGCAGAUCUGCUCUGUACAAGGCCCACUAAUGAUGGAGUGCCUUUGCUUGGACCAGCAGACCUUGCCCCUGGAGGAGAGUGAAGAGCUGACCAUGUGUGGAAAGCCUCCAGGGAUUGCACAGAGGAAAGGUUUGGAGGAGCCCACUGCUGCUCUUCCCCCUGUGUUGCAUGGGUCAUCGGUACCCACAGCAGCAGCUCUGCCCCAGCUCCCUGAGCAAGACCAGGCUAGGGCCCCCCCAGGGCCCAGCCCCGCCUCGCCAUGGUUCUUUGCAGACCUGGCCAGCUGCUCCUACAGAGCGACCGCUGUCCCCACAGGAGUCACAGGCAAGGGACAGUGAGCCACGACCAAAAUCAGUGGCCAAGGAAGGAACUGGAAUGGUCACUGAUGCUUACCAAUCAAUCAUCACUGGAAUGGUCACUGAUGCUUACCAGUCAGUCAUUGUAACCAAAGCAAGUUUCCCAGACUGAGACGCAGGCCUCCUGCUGUGCUCCACACAGAUGUCCGGUCUCAAGGCCUGUUCUAGGCAUUCGAGAGGAAGCUGGAAUUGUGUGAAGGAACAGCACAGAACGUGUCUCAGAGACCCAGCGGCAGCCUCACCAUUCAGCCCCUGCUUUGCUUCACAUCCAAACCAUAAGACAUUCAACUAGCACUGUGAAUUUGCUACAGAAGUACUAAUCUGACAGGCCCUGGCGGUGCAGCUGGCAGUUAGCUGUGGUUUGACCCCGACCUCGGGAGCUCACUCCCGUGUCAGGCACCAGGCACGGGUUCCCAAGGCAUCAAAUCAGUGCGCAGUGUGCCUGGCUCCUGAAGCAGUGUCACUCUUGUACCUCUGAGGCCACCUCUCAAAGUCCUGGACACGAGCAACCCUCAGGGACAAACUCACCCCCAAAGGUGCCAGAGGCACAGCACCAAUGUGCUGUCCUGCCCUGCCCAGGUGAGCACUGUGUGGGCAGCAGCGGUGGAACUAGAGCACCUGAGAAUCGAAAGUAGAACCUUGCAGCCUGGAGUAGGUGACUUCAAAGAGAGGACAGUUUUCAGCAGGGGGAAUCUCAGGCUCACUGUCAAGAAUGGAGGCAGAAUCUCCCAAAUGACUGGCCAUCCAGACAGACACUAUGGACACAGGCAGAAGGCCCUCACUGGGUGUCUGUGGCCAUACUUCCUGGGACGUUCUCCCUGCAAACUGGAGCUGGCCACAGAGCUUCCCUUACCACGAUGACCCAUAGGGCUGGAGCAGAGGGACCAGCUUGGGGCAGCAGCUGUGCUGAAUCAGAAGAGAGCUUAGUUAAAGCAGAAGCCAUGCUUGUGGGACAGAGGCCUGUGACAGCCAGGGGCUGUGAGGAGCACCCCAAAACGGGAGCAAACAUCAUCAACUUGGCCUUUGUUCCCCAGCCAGGCCACUUGGGGUCUCUGAAUGAACGGAGAUGAUCUGGGUGUCUGCAGGAGACCUCCACCACAUGGGCGGGGCUUUGGGACAAAGCAGAGCCUGAACCCUGGAGGCAGAGGCCCUGCAUUUCCACUGCCUCUGAGCUGCCGCUCAGUAAUCAGCCUCUGAGGUCGAUACAAAUGUGGUCUGAGGUCAGGCCUUGACCCAUGCCUCAGAAGCCUCCCAGACAUCACUUUGGAAAGAGCAUGCAGACGCUGAGGGAAAUGGAUUAAGGGUCAAUAAGUCUCCUGCUCUCUGCCGAGAUGCUGCCACCACCGUAAUGAAUUCGGACAGCAUCAAGGAACUCAAGUGCUCUCCCAUUUAGGUUUACUGGAGCCAGCAGUUCGGGGACCUGCAUGACCACAUGAGCCGUGGCCAUGGGAACCUUCAAGACAGCACACUGUGGACAGUGUGGGUUCUGUUUACACAGCACCCAAGUGUGCUGGCCAGCCCUCUACAGCCCAGCUGUCUGUGCAGCAGCCCACGUGUCACUUUGUCCCCUGAACUGGAGAAUACGGAUCACAACCCCUUCUUCACAUCUAUUCCAUUUAUUUACAAAUAUUCUCUAAAAUGUGAUACCCAGAUCUCUCAGCCCGGCCUUGAUGGAAACCCAUGCGGCCCCUGGCCACCCACUGCCUGUUGCCCUAGGGCAGGAGAGUGGCUGUGGAGCAGGCCCAGGCAGGGAUGUGGAGGCCUGUCACCCCUUGGUAGCCAACGAGACAGGGCCAGUAUUCUCUGGGCCCACAGUGCCACCUCUACCCAGAGCCAUCCAAAUGUCCCUGGGGAGGGAUGAUGUCACCACUCCAGUCUUUCCCGUUCCCCCCCAUGGUGAGUUGCAACUGCACCUCCAGCCAUGCCAGGGACUUCUCUGACUUGAGAGCUAGGCUGUUCUCUACCUGGCAGCCACAGCCAACUGAGGAGAUGGGCAUGUGUGGGGGCAAGAUGGGCUUGGGGAGGUGCACACUCCAGGGAUGCCAGACUGGGCCAUGCGAGGAGGAGGAAGGGCCUGCUGCUGCAGGAAAUGGGCCAAUAAGAGGACCAAAGCACGAACAGUCCAAUGGGAGCCCAAAAACAUAUGUGGGCUAAUGGGAAGUCAGAAGAAGAAUGAUCCAGUGGGAGCUCAGAAAUAAAAAUGAGCCAAUGGGAGAGGAGCAGGGGCAGGAAGCAUGGCAUAGGUCUACUAACACAGGCCUCUCUUGCUGGGGUCCUGCAGAGGGGAAAGGUGUGGAGGAGGGACUGGAGGCAGUGGCCACGGCUGCUCCCAGCCAUAAACGAUCCUGGCACGGGCCUUCCCUAUCCUGCUGGGCCCUGUGAAAUUCUGCCUCCUACCACCACCCAACUUUUCUACACUGUUUUUGAAUCUGUGGAAAUGGUUUUCAGGGAAACUGUCUUGUGCCUGGAGUACCAUCUCAUCCUAACCAAGGCACUCAGACCCAAGACACAGGACCCCAUCAGUAAAACCUCCCUGGCACGCCCAGAGGCAGAGUUGGCACUGGUCCCUUCCCAGCCUGUGGAGUGGCUCUGGGAAGGCUACAGGCCUUUUGCCCAGAGAGGCAGGGUCCUGUGGAGAGACUCUCUAGGACCUGUGAGGGUGCAGUCUAGGUGACCCAGGCUGGGGUACACAAAGGUGGGGUGAUAAGGAAGACAGAUGCAAAGCAACCACUUCCCAGCAUGCAGCUGGGCUCCUCGGUGUACCUAAGCCUGCAGGUGGGCUACGAACCUAGUGGGUCCUGUGCAUCCUUACAAACCCAGGACUCUGUGGGGCUUUGCCCAUGGGAAACCCACUCCUUAUUUCUCGUGUCUCUGCCUUUGCUGAGGCUCUGCACACUGGAAGUCCACAUUCCACACUAGAGCCUCGCACCAGGAGGGAUCCUGGUCUUGGGCUAUGUGUGCAGCCUGUACCCACUGUGGAGACCUCCUGCUCACGCCCCUGCCCCACUGGCUGGUUUGCAAGCCCACCUCACCCGGCGCAAGCAUCUCUCCAUAUCUUGUGUCCUGUGAUGUCACUAGCCUUCACAUGCAGGACAAACCCUAAGUGUCCAUGCACCCUGCUCGACUGGGGCCGGCUCCUCUCAAGCUCUAAUACCACUCCCCUCGGGCUCUGCACUGAGGUCUGUGGCCAACCUCGAGUCCUCCUGCUCGCUGGCACUGACCCUCCCUUGUGCAGACAUUGAGCAGGAAAGGCAGAAAUCCCCACCUCACAGCUCGGGGGCUGGUAGUCCUGAUGUGGGUGUCUGUGGAGCUCGUUCCUUCUGGGACUGAGGGGCAGGGUCUGUCCUGGGCCCCAGUCCUGAUUGCAGAGGGCUGUCUGUCUGCUCCCUGUGUCUCCUCAUGCCAUCUUUCCUCCUUGAGUGUCUGCUAUGGUGUCCAUAUUUCCCUUUCAUGAGGGCGCCAGUCACACAGAUCAGGGCCCCUCUACCUUCCUACCUAAUCCCAUCCACAGUGACCCUGUCUCCAAAGGGGUCCCACUCUGAGGCCCUGGUGUUAGGACUUAGACUCAGGAAGGGGCCUCUGUGUAGCCUGGGGCAUCACUGCCCCUGCCCCAGGAGCUCAGUCUCCUUCUUGAGGUCUGCAGUGCAUCCCUGGCAGCAUGCACAGGUGUUCAUGAUGGAUACAGGCUCCUCCGUCACCACGGAUGCAGUGUGACUGGCAUCUUACCUGAGCCACCCCACCACUGCUAGCGUAGCAGGUUCCCUUGUCAUCCGUGGCUGGGACACCACGUGGGUCUCACAUCCCUCUCUCCUUUUCCAUUCCCGAGUUCUCUAACCUUUGAGCUCUCUUCUGUUCCAUUACCAGCUGGAAACAUAGUGGAAACCCUUGUUCUUCAGUUCCCUUCCCCACUCCCUGAUUGAAAUUGUGCCUUUCCUUUUCUGCCUUCUUCAGUGGGUUCCUGCUCCCUCCAGGAAGGCAUCAGGGUCUGCCCCACAGUAGAGCUCCUCCACCCCUGGAUUACUUCCUGAUGGUUUUGUGUCACGUAGAUACUUCUUGGCCUGUGGCCUGGGGGUCUGGUCACUUGUUCCUGCAGUGGGCUCUUCUUCUCAAGCUCUGUUGUGAGCUCUUGAAAACAAAGACCAUGUUUAUUUGGAUCCUGAGCUCCAGUUCUGAACUCAGCAGCAUCAGAUCGGGAUUUGCUGGUGAAAUGGGGGAGUGGACGGCACCUCGGGGUGGAGCUGCUCCUCCUGCUGAGUCCCAUGGGAGGCAGACAAGGCCACCCUGCUCCCCUUCUUUGCCAGUUUCCUGGUGCCCACCACGAAAAGCAGGUCUACAAAGAGUCUAUCUCAGCCUUCUCCAUCUUUCCCCAGACUUAGGAAUGCACAUUUCUAAUGAUUAGCUGUUCACUUCUAGAGUCUUACUUCACCGUCAUGUCUCUUCACAAAGCUCUGGUUUUGUGGCACGACCAAGUAGCACCAUGACUUAUGUGAUGCAUAGGCCACAUUAGAGCAUUUGGCAUAGACCAGAUGUGGGUUCAAACCAACUCUUUAUGCAGAUGGAAAGUGACAUGAGAACAUUGUAACGGUGGCCCUAAAAUAAGUCUCCUACAGGUUGUAGGCACCGGAUAGUUUUCCAGGAUGGAGGUUGGGGUCAUUGGGUUUAUGCAGGUUCACCUGAUGGGAGCCAUUUAGGUUCAGGCCAUGGGAUCCACCCAAGUGCAGGUGGUGGGGCCCACUCUUUGCCGGAGGGAACAGCGUGCCCUCCAAGAGCACCAUUCACUGGACAAGAGGCUAAAGCGUCUGGGCUUCAGGCUGCUGUUGAGUUGGACAGCUGAGCCUUAUCAGAUGACAGCAAAAAGGAAACUUUCUUAGAAGGAUGCAUUUUUAGGGUUUGGCCAUAUAUACCUUUGAGGUCUGCAAAGAAGUCCCUUUACCCAACAAAUAAACCCCAAUGGGACAUAUUAACUUGGAUUCUAAUGAUAUCCUUUUGAAAUAUUGGAAAAUGCCCUAAUAAAGUGUGCAAAUAAAC